rnacentral:lncRNA from 1 species
GGGGCCCUCACAAAAAAUGUAUGUAUUAAUUACUUAGAACUCGGGAUAGGCCGCUUAGCGAACUCCACGGCCUUACCCAAAAUAACAACACGCUAGUUCUUUAGGACGCGUCUUAAUUAAUCUUACUCUCUUAAAUUUGGGUGCACAUUUAUGUGACCCAAAUCCAAAUCUCAGCGGAAUCGAAAUGGGUCUUUAAUCACGGGUACAUUGAUUGUGACGUGGUUUGAGAUGCGUGUCCAUGACGUUGCAAAUUCCUUUAAAAAAUAAGAAUGAGAUGAGCCUUGUCGAAUAAAAAUAUAAAACUGCGGGGCCCUCAGUAAAUAGUUGCUUUAAAACUACUUAGACUUCGGGAUGGACCGUUUAGCAAAAUUUUACGGCCCUACCCAAAGUAAAUGAUACGCUAGUCGCUUUAGGCGCGCCUUUAAUACUUUAAUUUUCUUAAACUCGGGUGCACAUUUAUGUGACCCAAAUCCAAAUCUCAAUGGAGUCAAAGUGUGUCGACGACCACGGGUACAUUGAUUGUGACGAGGUUCGAGAUACAUUUUUACAACGUUGCAAUUCCCUGUAAAAAUAAUAAUAAUAAGAAUAAGAAUAAAUAAUAAUGAAAGCGGUAAAGAAUUAAAAUAUGCACAUAAGUUCAUAUUUAUAUAAAAAUCAGAUAAUCAAGCCGAACAUGACAGUUGAGCGACCGUGCUAGAACCACGGAAUUCGGGAAUGCCUAAUACCUUCUCCCGGGUUAACAGAAUUCCUUAUCUGGAUUUUUGGUUUGCGGACUGUAAUACAGAGUCAUUCUUUUCCUCGAUUCGGGAUUAAAUUGGUGACUUGGGACACCCUAAAUCUCCCAAGUGGCGACUCUGAAAUAAACAAAUAAAUUCCGUUUCGAUUGUCCUUUAAUCGGAAAAACUCCUUCACCCCUUGCGGGGGGCGGAAAGAGGAGGUGUGACAGCUAUCUUCAUAUGGUAGCCACAAAGUGUUGUAGUGUGGCAAAAAAUCUAAUUUUAUUUGCCACGAAAACUUAGAUAUGUAAUUGCUUUCGUAUAUUAGUCCGUGGAAAAAGAAUUUUUUUAGCUACGAACUAAAAGUUCCAUGGCUACAAAUCAUUAAAAAAAGUCGUGGUUAUAUUAUUUUUAUUAUAUUUUAAUUUUUUGACAAAAAAAAAUUAAUUUUUUAUGGUGACAAAAUUUUCUCUCACAAAUCUCUUGUUUCUUAGAUAUUUGAGUUUUUCUAAUAUUUUUUAAUUAUUCUAUGGUCGUGCAUAUUAUAUUAAAACUAAUAACAUAUUAAGCAUGAGAAAUAACUUAUUCCGCACAAACUAAAAUUUAAAAAGUUUCACAAAAUAAAUUUCCAAAUACACAUUUGUACUAAUUAGUUAAUAGCAUCUGCAAUACAUAAGUCUUGUACAAUAAUCAAAAAUUGAAGGAAAAACUUGCCAAUGUGAGGCUUGAUUAUAACAGAGAUCAGAAAUAAUGUACAAAAUUUUGCAGUGAACAUAAGUAUUUGCUUGAUGAUUCAUGUUGUCACCUUCAUCGCACCCCCCCCCCCCCCUUUAUCUUCAUGCAUCUAAGAAUAUAUGAAGCACACUUACUAGACUGAAAUAAUGAAAUAACAUGAUCUUGUGAGAAACUUAUAUUUGAAUUCUCAAAACAUAUAAAGAUGCAUAUACAGUUACUAAUUAAAAAUAUUCAAUAAAUCAUGGAAUAAGAAAAAAUACUUAGCCAUGAAUUAGGUGAAAAAAGAUUUAAAGUUUUUUCAAACACAGAAGACAAAUGAGAAGCAUUUAAAUAAACAUCAUAAAUAGGGGAUGGAAAAAAGAAGUAAAACUUACAAUUUGGCAUAAAAAGAGAUUGAAAUUUCUCAAAGGCACAUUUUUCUUGAGUACCCUGUAAAUCAAAAACAAAUAAUUGAAGCAGAAACCCAAGUUAAUUGCUUGUAAGACACAAAACCUAUCAAAUCUUCAAAAUCGCACUCACUACUUAUGAAAUAUAAGGCAUAAUAUCUCUCAAAUUGUUAGAAUAACUCGUAAAUUGAAGUUAAAAAUCUAAAUCCAAGUAAAUGUAUGGAGAUUCAGAAACUCUAUGAUAUAGAGACAUGAGCUUACCCGGAUAGAGACAAACCAACACGUUAAAUUUCUGUCUAUAAAUAGAGAACCAGUGGAGAUACCAUCUUGUUCCUCUUUAUCUUUCUUGUGGCCUUAAUUAAGGCCGACUACUGAAGGUGGAAGAAAGACAUAAGAAAAUGGGGAGGGAGAGUGCGGCUGAGGGAGGAAGUAGGAAGUUUAGGUUUAGGUUUUAGAUUUACAUCGUCUACUUCUUAUAUAUGUUGCCUUAGUUUACUUCUAAUACAAA